rnacentral:rRNA from 1 species
CAGUCGCCACGGUAAUACGUAGGUGGCAAGCGUUGUCCGGAAUUAUUGGGCGUAAAGGGCUCGCAGGCGGUUUCUUAAGUCUGAUGUGAAAGCCCCCGGCUCAACCGGGGAGGGUCAUUGGAAACUGGGAAACUUGAGUGCAGAAGAGGAGAGUGGAAUUCCACGUGUAGCGGUGAAAUGCGUAGAGAUGUGGAGGAACACCAGUGGCGAAGGCGACUCUCUGGUCUGUAACUGAAGCUGAGGAGCGAAAGCGUGGGGAGCGAACAGGAUUAGAUACCCCAGUAGUCCCUGUCUCUUAUAC